rnacentral:rRNA from 1 species
CGGGGUGCACCAGGCGCGAAAACUUUACAAUGCUGGCAACAGCGAUAAGGGGACCUCGAGUGCCAGGAUACAAUCUUGGUUGUCGCGAUGCCUAAAAAGCAUUGCAUAGCAAGGGCCGGGCAAGACCGGUGCCAGCCGCCGCGGUAACACCGGCGACUCGAGUGGUAACCGCUAUUAUUGGGUCUAAAGGGUCUGUAGCCGGCCGGAUAAGUCUUUUGGGAAAUCCAGCUGCUCAACAGUUGGGCUUUCAGAAGAUACUGUUCGGCUCGAGACCGGGAGAGGUGAGAGGUACUUCAGGGGUAGGGGUGAAAUCUUGUAAUCCUUGAAGGACCACCAGUGGCGAAGGCGUCUCACCAGAACGGAUCUGACGGCAAGGGACGAAAGCUAGGGGCACGAACCGGAUUAGAUACCCGGGUAGUCCUAGCCGUAAACGAUACUCGCUAGGUGUCAGCCACGGUGCGACCGUGGUUGGUGCCGUAGGGAAGCCGUGAAGCGAGCCACCUGGGAAGUACGGCCGCAAGGCUGAAACUUAAAGGAAUUGGCGGGGGAGCAC